rnacentral:rRNA from 1 species
UGGGGAAUAUUGCACAAUGGGCGCAAGCCUGAUGCAGCCAUGCCGCGUGUGUGAAGAAGGCCUUCGGGUUGUAAAGCACUUUCAGCGAGGAGGAAGGUGGUGAGCUUAAUACGCUCAUCAAUUGACGUUACUCGCAGAAGAAGCACCGGCUAACUCCGUGCCAGCAGCCGCGGUAAUACGGAGGGUGCAAGCGUUAAUCGGAAUUACUGGGCGUAAAGCGCACGCAGGCGGUUUGUUAAGUCAGAUGUGAAAUCCCCGGGCUCAACCUGGGAACUGCAUUUGAAACUGGCAAGCUAGAGUCUCGUAGAGGGGGGUAGAAUUCCAGGUGUAGCGGUGAAAUGCGUAGAGAUCUGGAGGAAUACCGGUGGCGAAGGCGGCCCCCUGGACGAAGACUGACGCUCAGGUGCGAAAAGCGUGGGGCAGCAAACAGGAUUAGAUACCCUGGUAGUCCAGCGCUGUAAACGAUGUCGAUUUGGAGGUUGUGCCCUUGAGGCGUGGCUUCCGGAGCUAACGCGUUAAAUCGACCGCCUGGGGAGUACGGCCGCAAGGUUAAAACUCAAAUGAAUUGAC